rnacentral:rRNA from 1 species
GUGCCAGCCGCCGCGGUAAUACGUAGGGACCGAGCGUUGUCCGGAAUUAUUGGGCGUAAAGCGCGUGUAGGCGGCUUGCCAAGUCCGGUGUGAAAUGUCGGGGCUCAACCCCGGAACUGCACUGGAAACUGGCUUGCUUGAGUCCGGAAGAGGAGACUGGAAUUCCUGGUGUAGCGGUGAAAUGCGCAGAUAUCAGGAAGAACACCCGUGGCGAAGGCGGGUCUCUGGGACGGUACUGACGCUGAGACGCGAAAGCGUGGGGAGCAAACAGGAUUAGAAACCCCAGUAGUCC